AUCGCUUCUCGGCCUUUUGGCUAAGAUCAAGUGUAGUAUCUGUUCUUAUCAGUUUAAUAUCUGAUACGUCCCCUAUCUGGGGACCAUAUAUUAAAUGGAUUUUUGGAACAGGGAGAUGGAAGAAGAGCUUGCUCUGUCCACUCCCACGCAUCGACCUGGUAAUUGCAGUACUCCAGGACCGGUGCACCUCUC
rnacentral:snRNA from 1 species